GAUUGAGACAUGUUUUCCUAAUGCUAGAAGGACUCCUAAGUGUUGUAGGACACAAAUGAGAAGUUUCUAGAAAGUUUACAUCCUUGCCGUGGGUUUCAUGCAAUUCCUAUCAGUUUUGGGGCUUUCUAGAAGCCCUAUCCUUAAUCCCUACAUUGGUGCCGCACCCUAGCUUCUAGAUGCCCUAAUUCCUUGCCUUGCAAGGCAUUCUAGAAGGCCUAUCCAUGUCCCAUAAAUCCUGCCGCACCCCUAUUCCUUAUCCCUUAGGAUUUCUGAUUGUUUUAACCUAAUUCCUUGUGGAUUUGGGUUUUUCAAGUCCAUAUCUGAUUCCCCUAGGGUUUUAAGUGCCUAUAUAUACUCAUAUUAACCCCUAAAUCAGAUCACCACCUCUCAUACACAUUCAUUCAUUCCACAAAUUCAGAAAUUCGUCCAAACACCUCUCCACACUUUUGCCGCACCAUCCCCAUCCCCUAAACACUACUACAUCCAUCCAUCACCAUGCAUCCCUACACCUAAGGUCCUAAACCUGUCCCUAGACCCUUUGCCGCACCAAGGAGGAGGAGAAGGAAGCUCGGAAGUUCAUGCAAUUCAAGUUCGCGUCGCUGGAAUUUCUAGGUGUUUCUUUUCUUUUGAUUUCAAUGUUUAAAUUCAAUUCUCUUUGUUUUGUGCGUAUGAGGAACUAAACCCCCCCCUUGGCUAGGGGGGAUUCGAAAUACAUGUUUAUGCUUGCGUUAUGAUUUGAUUACUUCUAAUUGCGUUUCAUAAGUUGUGAAUUCAAUUUACUUAUCUAUGUGAAUUACAUUGAUUUGUGUGUGUUGGUUGAGAGUGCACGCUUAAUUAUCAUGCAUAAAUUGAAUGCUAGGAUAUAAAGAAAUUUCACCUAAUCGUUAUGGAAUUAUAUUCACAAGUAGUAAAGGUUGAUGAUCUCAAUCGCGUUAAGUA
rnacentral:lncRNA from 1 species